rnacentral:rRNA from 1 species
AACGCCCUCGCGGGAGCAUUAACCAUGCAGUCGAGCGGGGUAAGGCACUUUGCUACCUGACUAGCGGCGGAGGGAGGGGGGUGCAUAGGAUCUGCCUAUUAGUGGGGGAAACAUUAUGUAGGGGGUGCUAAUACCGCAUACGCCCUACGGGGGAAAGCAGGGGAUCUUCGGACCUUGCGCUAAUAGAUUAUGAAAAAUAAGAUUAGCUAGUUGGUGGGGUAAAGGCCUACCAAGGCGACGAUCUGUAGCGGGUCUGAGAGGAUGAUCCGCCACACUGGGACUGAGACACGGCCCAGACUCCUACGGGAGGCAGCAGUGGGGAAUAUUGGACAAUGGGCGAAAGCCUGAUCCAGCCAUGCCGCGUGUGUGAAGAAGGCCUUUUGGUUGUAAAGCACUUUAAGCGAGGAGGAGGCUACUUAGAUUAUUACUCUAGGAUAGUGGACCUUACUCCCAGAAUUUGGGCCGGGUACUCUGUGCCACCAGCCGCGGUAAUACAAGAGGGUGCGAGCGUUAAUCGGAUUUACUGGGCGUAAAGCCGUGCGUAGGCGCCUUUUUAAGUCGCAUUUGAAUCCCUGAGCUUAACUUAGAUUUUCAUUCCAUCUGGGAAAGCCAGAUAAGGAAAGGAUGGAUAUUUCCAUGUGGUAACGGGAA